rnacentral:rRNA from 1 species
GACGAACGCUGGCGGCGUGCUUAACACAUGCAAGUCGAGCGAAUGGAUUAAGAGCUUGCUCUUAUGAAGUUAGCGGCGGACGGGUGAGUAACACGUGGGUAACCUGCCCAUAAGACUGGGAUAACUCCGGGAAACCGGCGCUAAUACCGGAUAACAUUUUGAACCGCAUGGUUCGAAAUUGAAAGGCGGCUUCGGCUGUCACUUAUGGAUGGACCCGCGUCGCAUUAGCUAGUUGGUGAGGUAACGGCUCACCAAGGCAACGAUGCGUAGCCGACCUGAGAGGGUGAUCGGCCACACUGGGACUGAGACACGGCCCAGACUCCUACGGGAGGAAGCAGUAGGGAAUCUUCCGCAAUGGACGAAAGUCUGACGGAGCAACGCCGCGUGAGUGAUGAAGGCUUUCGGGUCGUAAAACUCUGUUGUUAGGGAAGAACAAGUGCUAGUUGAAUAAGCUGGCACCUUGACGGUACCUAACCAGAAAGCCACGGCUAACUACGUGCCAGCCGCCGCUGUAA